AAUGAGUCUCAUGAAAUCUGAUGGUUUUAAAAACAGGAGUUUCCCUGAACAAGCUCUCUUUGCCUGCUGCCAUCCAUGUAAGACGUGACUUAUUCCUCCUUGCCUUCCGCCAUGAUUGUGAGGCCUCCCCAGCCAUUCAGAACUGUGAGGGUUCCAGACUCCAGAGUCUCCCUUUACCUAGUUCUUGGGAGUCUAGUGCAGCUGAAGACGAGGUACUGCGGAUGAAGAGGAAGACGAGGUACUGCGGAUGAAGAGAAACCCAGAUGAUCCAGGCACAUUUUAUAGACAAGGCCUCAACGACCCCAAAGGAACCUUUGAAAUCACCCUUUUCCUGGGUUCACGACGACUUGUAAACGAUACCAUCCAUCCCUGCU
rnacentral:lncRNA from 1 species